CCUACGGGUGGCAGCAGUGAGGAAUAUUGGUCAAUGGGCGCGAGCCUGAACCAGCCAAGCAGCGUGAAGGAUGACGGCCCUACGGGUUGUAAACUUCUUUUAUAAAGGAAUAAAGUGAGGCACGUGUGCCUGUUUGUAUGUACUUUAUGAAUAAGGAUCGGCUAACUCCGUGCCAGCAGCCGCGGUAAUACGGAGGAUCCGAGCGUUAUCCGGAUUUAUUGGGUUUAAAGGGAGCGGAGAUGGGUUGUUAAGUCAGUCGUGAAAGGUUGGGGCUCAACCGUAGAGUUGCAAUUGAUACUGGCAGUCUUGAGUACAGUAGAGGUAGGCGGAAUUCGUGGUGUAGCGGUGAAAUGCUUAGAUAUCACGAAGAACUCCGAUUGCGAAGGCAGCUUAC
rnacentral:rRNA from 1 species